rnacentral:rRNA from 1 species
CAGCAGCCGCGGUAAUACGUAGGUGGCGAGCGUUGUCCGGAAUUACUGGGUGUAAAGGGCGUGUAGGCGGGUAAGCAAGUCAGAUGUGAAAUACCGGGGCUCAACCCCGGGGCUGCAUUUGAAACUGUAUAUCUUGAGUGCAGGAGAGGGAAGCGGAAUUCCUAGUGUAGCGGUGAAAUGCGUAGAUAUUAGGAGGAACACCAGUGGCGAAGGCGGCUUCCUGGACUGUAACUGACGCUGAGGCGCGAAAGCGUGGGGAGCGAACAGGAUUAGAUACCCUGGUAGUCCACGCCGUAAACGAUGGAUACUAGGUGUAGGAGGUAUCGACCCCUUCUGUGCCGGAGUUAACACAAUAAGUAUCCCACCUGGGGAGUACGGCCGCAAGGUUGAAACUUAAAGGAAUUGGCGGG